UACGGAGGGUGCAAGCGUUAUCCGGAUUCACUUGGGUUUAAAGGGUGCGUAGGUGGGUUGAUAAGUCAGUGGUGAAAUCCCGAGCUUAACUUGGGAACUGCCAUUGAUACUAUUGAUCUUGAAUACCGUGGAGGUCAGCUGGAAUAUGUCAUGUAGCGGUGAAAUGCUUAGAUAAUGACAUAGAACACCAAUUGCGUAGGCAGCUUACUACACGAUCAUUGACGCUGAGGCACGAAAGCGUGGGGAGCAAACAGG
rnacentral:rRNA from 1 species